GGACUAUGGCUCAGUGGUAGAGCACUUGCCUUGCAAGCAAAAGGCCCUGGGUUCAAUCCCAGCACCA
rnacentral:tRNA from 1 species